UAUACUUGCCCUCUUUUAAAACAUUAGCAACAGAGGGUGUGGAGUACAGUAAAAACUCUAUUAUGUGCAUCCCUGAUUGUAUGGAUCAGAGGAAAGGCCAUGUGAGGACACAGUGAGAAGGUGCCUUGUCCAAGUCAGGAAGAGACAUCUCACUAGAAACCAACCCCAGCGGUGCCGUGAUUGUGGACUCCCCAGCCUCCAUAGCUGUGAGAAAAUAAACUGCUGUGUAAGUCA